rnacentral:rRNA from 1 species
UACAGAGGUCCCGAGCGUUGUUCGGAUUCAUUGGGCGUAAAGGGUGCGUAGGCGGCGGGGAAAGUCUGAUGUGAAAUCCUGGGGCUCGAACCCUGGAACUGCAUUGGAUACUUCCUUGCUAGAGUACUGGAGAGGAAACUGGAAUUUACGGUGUAGCAGUGAAAAUGCGUAGAGAUCGUAAGGAAGACCAGUGGCGAAGGCGAGUUUCUGGACAGUUACUGACGCUGAGGCACGAAAGGCCAGGGGAGCAAACGGG